GGCCUUAUAGUAUAGAGGUUAGUACGUCGGAUUCUGAUUCCGACAACGUGAGUUCGAAUCUCACUAAGGCCU